CCGUUGUACACACCGCCCGUCACACCAUGGGAGUUGGUUUUACCUGAAGACCGGUGCGCUAACCGCAAGGAGGCAGCCGCCACGGUAGGGUCAGCGACUGGGGUG
rnacentral:rRNA from 1 species